ACAGGUUUGUUAUGUAACCGCCGGGCCAGCCCCGCCCUCAGGGUGGGCUGAGGUGCGGCUCCCUGGAGACCCCGCCAGCUAGCCGGGAGCCAGCAGCGCAGUGCGAGUUCAGCCCGCUUUCUUCGCGCUCCGCGUCAAAUCUCUCCAGCUCUGUUCUCGCAUCCCGGGUUUAGAUCCCGCAGAGUUAAGUAUCCCGCGUGUGAAGGGAUGAACUGAGACUCCCAGAGGGCAUAACUGAUGGAGGCACGAAGAUGUCUGCUCUUCAGCUUUGCCAAGAUGGGCCACCUGUUUUAAAUCCAAAAGCUGGUAGGAGUUUCAGGUACACUGCAUUUGCUUCUGCUGUCCUAUUGCACUUGGACUUGGUGCAGCUAUGACCUAAUGCAGAAGACAAAGUAUGAAGCUACCAAACUGUCAGGGCCAGAACUAAGCCUGUAUAAUUGAUAGGAACCUUCUGGGUGCAUGGAAUGAGCCUCUAAACAUGGCCACAGCUCAGUGAUACUGACCAACCAAACAUCCCUUUGCUGGACCUAUGCAAACAUGAAACAGCCUUUUCACAUUCAGUUAAGAUUUCAUGAAGAGUUGUAAGAGAAAAGCUUUUCCAGACCCAGCCAUGAGUACUCUGCUUUACUCAGAAGAACCACAAACUUUGAACAGCUUGAUAAUCUAGCAUUUCUGAAACUUUUCUUUGCAUGUGUGUCACUGAGGUAUCUUAUUAAAGCACAUAUUCUAA